ACAUGCGGCCAUAGGCAAAAAAAUCAAUCUGGGUCCCGUCUGCUUCCCGCACGAUAAAUGUUUGACCGGUGGACGAGUAGUCAGGUGGGUGAUCACUGACGAAUCCCCGCCGUCGUUUGUU
rnacentral:rRNA from 1 species